rnacentral:rRNA from 1 species
UACGGAGGGUGCAAGCGUUAUCCGGAUUCACUGGGUUUAAAGGGUGCGUAGGCGGGCAGGUAAGUCAGUGGUGAAAUCUUUGGGCUUAACCCGAAAACUGCCAUUGAUACUAUCUGUCUUGAAUAUUGUGGAGGUUUGCGGAAUAUGUCAUGUAGCGGUGAAAUGCUUAGAUAUGACAUAGAACACCUACUGCGAAGGCAGCAAACUACGCAUAUAUUGACGCUGAGGCACGAAAGCGUGGGGAUCAAACAGG